rnacentral:rRNA from 1 species
UACGGAGGGAGCUAGCGUUGUUCGGAAUUACUGGGCGUAAAGCGCACGUAGGCGGCUUUGUAAGUUAGAGGUGAAAGCCCGGGGCUCAACCCCGGAAUUGCCUUUAAGACUGCAUCGCUUGAAUCCGGGAGAGGUGAGUGGAAUUCCGAGUGUAGAGGUGAAAUUCGUAGAUAUUCGGAAGAACACCGGUGGCGAAGGCGGUCUGCUGGGCCAAGACUGACGCUGAGGCGCGACAGCGUGGGGAGCAAACAGG